rnacentral:lncRNA from 1 species
AUUUAUCGGAAAUCUUUUAUCAUUUCAUAUCAUCACCACUAUAGAAUAUUUAAUAUUUUCUCAAUAAUCAAAAUCAUGGUUCUUGCUAGUUGAAAGUGUGAUUGACGAACAGGCUCGAUGGUAUAAAUUACAAGACCAUCAAAAGUCUCGGUCUGGUAGUGGGCCACAUUCAUCUAAUAGUUUAGGACAGAUCAGCGAUAUCUCCAGCGGAAGUGGCCGCAAAAUGGCCAAACUUAAUAUGGGAAGUAAUGAAGAGAUAAGGAAGGCAGUGAGCAACCAGGCGCAUCGCAUGUCCCUUUUUCCUCCCAAUAACAUGUCCACACAUCCCAUUGUGGCACAAGGAUGCCACGCCGCUGUUUGCAGUAUUCUUUAGCACUUUCCUUUAUAUCUUUUGAGACGAAACUACCUUAUGAUGGUGCUUUCUCACUGGUGAACGACAACUUUAUUGCAAAAUUCGACCUCCAUUUGGUGCUGCGUUCGUCCAGAAAGAAAUAUUGUGUUAUUAUUUCGACUUAAUAGUACUUUGCUCGGUUAAUUGUUGUUAUAUCAACUCAGAAUCAUGUCGAAAAUAUUGCUGUUGAUUGGUGAAUGAGAUAUGUUGUUGGUUGAUGUAUAAAAGACUUCGUGUCUUUCAUACGUCUACGUUAAGUUUGAACAGAAGAUAAAGUAAAAAAUCAAAGUUUAAGUGUUGUUGCAAGAUUGAAAAAUGGUAGAAUUAUUCUUGCAGGGUGCUUUGUUUGAUAAAGUGAUAAUUGGGUAGACAAGCUGUGAUCUCCUCUCCUCAAGAAAUGAGAAAGAAGAACAUAUCCCUAUAGUUAAUGUUGUAGGAUUAUCAUAUGAAAGAAAACUAUCCCUUGUUGUAGCCUGCUAAUUAGAAGGCCUAAAUCAACCCUUUGCUCCCUAAGAGGCCUUUUCUGGACUAAAAAGAAUAUACAGUUACGACAGACCAUUCGUUCCUUCAACGAGGUUUCAGUCCUUUUCGAAGUUUAUCUAUAGGGUCUUGGUGUCAAUAAAUGUGAUAACAGAAACAUAAUUACUUCAUUUAUCCCAUCGUGUCGAUACUCUCUCCCUUUGCUCGCAGAGACGCGCUAGCGAAAGGGCCUGGGUUUUCCCGCUUUGCCAAUUUGCUCAGGUUCUCAUUGGGAUCAAGGUGAAUGGCCUGCUAAGAGCUAGGUGCUCCAGCAAUCCAGAGCCCCAAGCUGGCAUGCGCCCGUUAAUCCUCCUAAAUGAUCAAUAGUAAGAUUGCAUCUUUACUUUUAUCGUAAAAUUAUGUCUGCUACAACGAAAUUGCAUGGCAUAAGUGGCCGGAAAAUGGCAUUUCUUCCACUUUUUCUAAACAUUUAAUACCUAAUUCUUUGCUAUUAAUCCGUUGUCGGAAAGUCGCAGAUGAGUUUUUCGAGACAUCAAAUCAGAUAGUUUCGACAAAAUGAUUAGUGAUAUAGGUCUUUCGCAAAUUUGCAAAAAAUCUCCCAUUUCUCGAGUCAUUCGACAAUUUUCAAAAACAAAAAUUUGUUGUAUUUUAUACAAAAUUCAAAAUUCUAAAUAAAACAUAAAGUUACGAAAUUCCGUUUAAAAAUGCUUUUAAAUAUAUCUGAAUAAUCAAAAAGUUGAUUGUUUUGAGUGUCUUGAGGCUCGAAGAAACAUUUGCGAAGACGUCAACGUAAAAAUGAAAGAAAAACUUCAAAUUUUCCAGUGCCUGUCAUAUUCCCAUUACCACCUUAUCCACAAUUCUCGGAAAAAUUGGAAACUAUUUUGUUUGCUUAUUUCGCAGGAACAUCAGGCAUGAGAGAGAACACUUUUCCAUAAAGUUCCUCCGAAACUUCUGAACUAUUCUGAAUUAAUAAUCUAAUCUGUCUGUUCCUUGUCGUUCUGUAAUAAUAAAAAGAAAAUUAUGGCAACGAUUCAGUGUGUUACUGAUACGAAAAAAUUUCAAUCCAGAAUAAAAAAAAUAAAAAAUAAAACCCUGAUCAUAAAUCAAGAUUUGUGUCCUUGUUUCCUCACAUAUACUAUAUUAAAAAUUUCAAUAUUUCUAAAGAGUAUUUGUGUUACCGACAGUUUAGAUAAAGAAAAUACGUUUCCACUAACUUUUUUAUCCUAAAACAACAGGAAUUAAAUAAAUAUAUUACUUAUUUAUAUA